GACAGCUGAGAAUGCUAAAUGCUGUAGUUUCCCUGACUGAGCCUCCAUCUGCAGCGUGGGAGGACAUCUACAACAGGAGUUUGUGGCUCUGAAGAUUAGGACCACUGUCUCCGCAGCCACCAUCACUGCUGCCACCGGGAUGAAGAUAAGAAGAUGAUGAAGAUGGAGUGCCGCCACCAUUAUCUUAGAAACUCACAGUGACAGUGGCCAGCAGCCCCUCUGGUACAUUAGCCACAAUGAUGCCGAUAAGGAAGAUGACGGCCUCCAGCCAGCUAUAGCCCAAAAUGAUAGAGAGAACGAAGAAGGAGAUACCAAGGAAGAC